rnacentral:rRNA from 1 species
GACGAACGCUGGCGGCGUGCUUAACACAUGCAAGUCGAGCGGUAAGGCCCUUUCGGGGGUACACGAGCGGCGAACGGGUGAGUAACACGUGGGUGACCUGCCUUUAGCUCUGGGAUAAGCCUGGGAAACUGGGUCUAAUACCGGAUAUGACUCCAUGACGCAUGUUGUGGGGUGGAAAGCCUUGUGCGGCUAGGGAUGGGCCCGCGGCCUAUCAGCUUGUUGGUGGGGUGAUGGCCUACCAAGGCGACGACGGUAGCCGGCCUGAGAGGGCGACCGGCCACACUGGGACUGAGACACGGCCCAGACUCCUACGGGAGGCAGCAGUGGGGAAUCUUGCGCAAUGGGCGAAAGCCUGACGCAGCGACGCCGCGUGAGGGAUGACGGCCUGG